rnacentral:rRNA from 2 species
AUCAACUUUCGAUGGUAGGAUAGAGGCCUACCAUGGUGGUAACGGGUAACGGGGUGUUAGGGCACGACACCGGAGAGGGAGCCUGAGAAACGGCUACCACAUCCAAGGAUGGCAGCAGGCGCGCAAAUUACCCAAUCCCGACACGGGGAGGUAGUGACAAUAAAUAACAAUACGGGGUUCUUUAGGAUCUCGUAAUUGGAAUGAGUACAAUUUAAAUCUCUUAACGAGGAACAAUUGGAGGGCAAGUCUGGUGCCAGCAGCCGCGGUAAUUCCAGCUCCAAUAGCGUAUAUUAAAGUUGUUGCAGUUAAAAAGCUCGUAGUUGAAUUUCGGGGUUAGUAGGUUGGUCAUGCCUCUGGUAUGUACUGGUCUCACUGAUUCCUCCUUCCUUAUGAACCGUAAUGCCAUUAAUUUGGUGUUGCGGGGAAUUUGGACUGUUACUUUGAAAAAAUUAGAGUGUUUAAAGCAAGCUAACGCUUGAAUACAUUAGCAUGGAAUAAUGAAAUAGGACGUUCGAUCUUAUUUUGUUGGUUUCUAGGAUUGACGUAAUGAUUAAUAGGGAUAGUUGGGGGCAUUAGUAUUCAAUUGUCAGAGGUGAAAUUCUUGGAUUUAUUGAAGACUAACUACUGCGAAAGCAUUUGCCAAGGAUGUUUUCAUUAAUCAAGAACGAAAGUUAGGGGAUCGAAGACGAUCAGAUACCGUCGUAGUCUUAACCAUAAACUAUGCCGACUAGGGAUCGGAUGAUGUUAAUUUUUUAAUGACUCAUUCGGCGCCUUACGGGAAACCAAAGUGUUUGGGUUC